UACCAGACUCCUACGGGAGGCAGCAGUGAGGAAUAUUGGUCAAUGGGCUUACGCCUGAACCAGCCAAGUCGCGUGAGGGAAGACUGCCCUAUGGGUUGUAAACCUCUUUUGUCAGGGAGCAAUUGGCGCUACGUGUAGCGUUAUCGAGAGUACCUGAAGAAAAAGCAUCGGCUAACUCCGUGCCAGCAGCCGCGGUAAUACGGAGGAUGCGAGCGUUAUCCGGAUUUAUUGGGUUUAAAGGGUGCGUAGGCGGAAUGCCAAGUCAGCGGUAAAAUCGCGGGGCUCAACCUCGCUCCGCCGUUGAAACUGGCGUUCUUGAGUGGGCGAGAAGUAUGCGGAAUGCGUGGUGUAGCGGUGAAAUGCAUAGAUAUCACGCAGAACUCCGAUUGCGAAGGCAGCGUACCGGCGCCCAACUGACGCUCAUGCACGAAAGCGUGGGUAUCGAACAGGAUUAGAUACCCGGGUA
rnacentral:rRNA from 1 species